GUUCUAAAAAAAGUAUGUUACCAUGGGGACCAAACGUCCCAGUCUGACUCCCUUUGAUACAUUUGAUCCAUCCAAUCAAAGCGCUUCCUACCGGAACCCUCAGCCAAUCAGCCAGAUCUACCGCGAAACAAGUCCCAGACCUGGAACUGUGGCCCGGACAGACCGAGACAGGGAGAGGAUCCAAGAGGAGGAAUGGAGGAGAGAAAGAGAAAUGGAGAGAUUGAAGGACAAAACAAGAAAUAGAAGAAAAGAGAUGGAACCCGGACCAAGAGAGAGGAACAGAGAGAAGGAGUGUGCCCUCAUAUCCAGAGGGAGGGAGGAGGAAAGGGAAUGGAGAGAGAGAGAAAGGGGGGGAGCGGGAGAGAGACGUGCCAAUGGAAGACCUACUUCAAAUCUGGAGAUCAGGAACCACAGAGACAGAGAAAAGGAGAGAAAGAAAGGAGACACGUUUCCUAGAAUGGUAAAACAUAGCAAAGAGAGAGACAGAAGAAUACGUGCAUUUGUGGAGGAAGAUGUGGGGAAAGAAGGAAUGAAACAAUUGGAGAGACCGAAGGGAACAGAGAUGGACGACUGGGAGAGAGAACGAGAGACAGCAGCAAAGAUACAGCGGUAUCGAGAUGCAGAGAGGGACUUCCAAAGGCACAGAGAGAGGGAGAGGGAGAAGGAGAGAAUCGGGGCACAGGAGGACAGAGAGAGAAAUGGAGGAAAGCCCAUGGAGGAUAAGACAGUGAGACGGAGGGAGAGAGCGAGGGAAGCGGAGCCAGAUUUCAGAGAGAGGAGAAGAGAGAGGGACUCAAAGGGUAAUGACCUACGGAGCAAAAGAGAGAGGUAUAUGGAUGGAGAGAGAGAGAGGUCAAAACUCUGGCAGGGAGAAAGAGAGGAUGGAAGAAGAGAGGGAGAUUCACAGAACUAUUCCGAUAGAGAGGGCAGGGAUGGAAGGAGGGAAGGAAAUACAGAGGGACAGAGGGACACCAGGAGUGAGGGAGACAGUGAUGGAGAGAAGAGGAAAGAGAGAGUGAGAGAUGACAACAGAAGAGAACUGAAACAUCUGCACAGUAAAAGUGAGGGGGACACUGAGGGGAACGCAGCAUGGGAUAGAGUGAGGGAGAAAGAGAAGGAGAGACAGAAAUGGAGAGGGGGGGAGAUAUACAGAGAGAGGGAUGGAAGGAGAGAUGCUUAUAGACAGAGAGUUAGGGAAGGGGACAGGGAUGGAAAGAGUGACAUGGAGAGAUACAGAGAGAGGGACAGGAGAAAAGUGAGGGAAGUGGAGAGAGAGAGGGAUGAGGUGAGAGAAGGGGGCAGGCGAGAGGACAGACCAAGGGAAAGGAGGGACCUAGAGAAAGUGAGGGUGGGAACACAGCCCAAUGUAACUGGAGAGAGAAGGAAGCGGAUGGAUGGAGAGAGAUUCAGAGAGAGGGAGAGAUAUUCCAAGGGGGAGGAUGAAGAGAGGAGGCGCAGGGAGAAGAGGGACAGAGAGACAGAUCUCAAAAGGGAGGGAGGAGCAGACGGAGCUAGUCGAUCGCUGAGCGAGACAGCCCCAAGGGUGCCACCACGAGUCCAGAGCAGCGGAGAAUGGAGCAGUGACAUAGAGAAGGAAAGAAAAUGGAGAAGAGGAAGAGAAAGUCAUGAAGAGAAGGAGUCAGAGGGAGAGAAGGAUGUGGACAGGGGGCAGAGAGACUGUAGUGAAAGAGAGAGACCAGAUAGAGUGAGGGGGAGAGAAGAAGGAAAGGAAGAGACGAUACCAAAGCGCCCUGAGCAGAGGAGGAUGUGGUUAUUACCACAGAGGGUCAGAUAUAACAAAGACUCCUCUUUAGAGGAUGAGGUUAUAGAGCGAGAAAGAGAUAGGCACACUAACAGAUGGAGAGAGAGAAGUGAAGAAGAGGACAGAUCCGUGGAACAAAGGACAGGCAGAGAAAAAGAGAGGAAGACAGAGGGAGAAGGACAAGAGGACAGAUCCGUGGAACAAAGGACAGGCAGAGAAAAAGAGAGGAAGACAGAGGGAGAAGGACAAGAGGACAGAUCCGUGGAACAAAGGACAGGCAGAGAAAAAGAGAGGAAGACAGAGGGAGAAGGACAAGAGGAUAGGCCGGUGGAACAAAGAAAGUCCAUAGACGAAGAGAGAGGGUUAAAUGUAGAUGAAGACGAUGAGACAGAAGCCUGGAGGAGUUAUAGCAGAGGAGAGGAACACCAGACUUACAGCGAUGGAGAGAGAGAGGAACGCUGGCAGAGGGACAGGGAGACGGAGAGAGAGAAUGUGACAGAUAACACAGAAGGUGACAGUGAGGAAGAAGGAGGAAGUGAUAGAUAUACACUCUUCGAGAGCGAUGGAGGAAGUGAUAGAGAGUGGGAAGGAGGGAGGGAUAGAAUCGCUUCCUCUGAGGACGGCUUUAUCACUGUGUCCAGUGGUGGAGAAGAGGAGUUUGAGGACUGCAAGGAAUUCUUGGAAGUUGGGGUUGCUAUUCAUGUUACCAGGCAACCUGUUAGCUUUCAGGGGAGCGAGGGAGAGAUGAAGAGAGGUGGAGGGAGAAGACAUGAAAGAGAGAGAGAAAGAACAGAAGAGAGGACAGAGCAAAAGGAUGAUGCAGUGGUGGGAGAGGUGAAUGAUGGAAAGGGGAAGAAGCAACCAACCUAUGUAUUCUGUGUGAUUGGGCAAACACUGCCCAGGUCAAAACCCAAUCAGACAGCAGUCUUGGGUGACAUGGAAUCAGAGCGGACCAAUCAAAAUCCUGGAUAUGGUCAUAGGGACAGUGAUGACAUCACACACCUCCCUCAUGAGAACCCUUCCAGAGAUGGAGACCAAGGGGCAGAGGAUGAGAGAAAAAUAGUGAGGGAUGAGAUCCAUGUGCCAAAGGAGGAGAGAACAGACACAGAAGAGAGCUCCAUAGUGGACGUCAGUCACACCACCCUAGAACGAGAGAGCGGAGAACGACUGAAGGUCAUGGAGGAGAACCCAUACGCUGAGAUAGAGCGAAGGAGGAACUCUGAGACCGAAAAACUCCUCAAAGAGUGGAGAGAAAGACAUGAAGAGUACACAGAAACAAGAGAGAGGGACCCAACAGACAGGAGGAGGACAGAACCAGAGAUAGGUCCAUCUUCACAUCCCAGUGGAGAGUACCACCACCAUGGGAUCCCUGUAGUUGACCAAGCCACCUCUGACCAAAAUGACCCUGGAGUGAUGAGCCCAGAGGAAGCUGUGGCCAUCCAAAUCUGUAUAAGUGAAGCCUGGAGCACAGAAGAGGAGGCCAAGCGCCACUCCCAGCCCUCACACAUGAAGUGGGCCAAGAACGUAUUGAGCGAAAUCCUUGGCAGCUCGGAGGAACCAGCCCUCAGCAACCCCCAGCCAGAGUCACAGGGAAGUCAAGAGGUCAGCCAGACUGCGAGAGGGACCGAGAGGGUAGAAGAGGAGCUAGAGGAAGAAAAGGAUGAGACGCUAGAGGGGGGAGGAGCCUCAACCGUCUACGCCACGGUUCAGAAGAGGAAGAAGCGUGGGAGGAAGUCGGUGGAGGAGAGGCUGGUUGAACGGGAGGCAGAGCCAGGGAAGCUGGAGGAUGAGAGAGGUACAGGGGAGAAACUAACAGACGUGCAUGCUGAGGCUUUCACAGCUAUGCUUGGUGAUGGCAAACCCAUAGACAUGCAUGCUGCUCUGACCCUACACAAUACUCAUGGUGACACACCUACAGACACACAGGGAGAGGAGGUGGAGGGUAACAAUGUGUGUGCGGACAGACAAACAGACAGUCAUAUACAUAUCCAGGUAGAGAUGGUGACAGAGGAUGAGGGUGAGAUGGAGAAAGGGGUCGAAGUUGGGGACGAGGUUCAUAUACUGGAUGCAGAGAAAGAAGCGAAUUCCCAGAAAGAGGAAGAUCUGUUUCUCUCUGUGAGCAACACCCUGUACAAACCAACCAGCUGCCCCAGCCUUAUAUACAACCCUGAUUCAGAACAACCUAUCACCACCACAGAGGAAAAGACGGAGGAAGAAGGGGAGAAAGAGAGGACUGUGGGAGAUGGGGAAGAGAAUAGUGUGGUAGAGAGGAAGCAGGAAAGAAGGAUCGAGGAUGGGACCGAGGACAUUGGGAAAGUGGGAGAGGCGACUGAGGAAAGGAAAGUGGAAAGGGAGGAGGAGAAGAGGGUAGGAGGGGAAGAGGAGAGGAUGAGGGAGGGCAAGGAAGAGAGUAAAAAAACGGGAGGAGGGGGGGUGAAGAGCACUUGUAGCUUCCAAGAUUUGGGCACCGAUGUUCGGUAUAGGAGGCGGGGGUUCCGCAAGACAACAGAAAGAAGAAACGAGGAAGAAGAAGAAGGAAGAGGAGAUGCGAGGGAUCGCAGAACAAGAAUAUUCCAGGCGUCAGAUGAUGAUGAUGAGGAGGAGGAGGUGAACUUCAACUGGGGAGAUGUGGAUCUGAGGAAUGUCACGGAUACCAUCAGAAUGGCUAGGAGGAACUCCAAAUUUUACAGUGAGUAUCUCUGCUUUACCUCUACUGCACUACUUCUACUGCACUACUUCUACUGCACUACCUCUACUGCUCUACUUCUACUGCUCUACUUCUACUGCACUACCUCUUCUUCUACUGCACUACCUCUUCCUCUACUGCACUACCUCUACCUCUACUGCACUACCUCUACUUCUACUGCACUACCUCUACUGCACUACCUCUACUUCUACUGCACUACCUCUACCUCUACUGCACUACCUCUACCUCUACUGCACUACCUCUACUUCUACUGCACUACCUCUUCUUCUACUGC
rnacentral:lncRNA from 13 species